UACGUAGGGUGCAAGCGUUGUCCGGAAUUAUUGGGCGUAAAGAGCUCGUAGGCGGCUUGUCGCGUCGGCUGUGAAAACCUGGGGCUCAACCCCGGGCCUGCAGCCGAUACGGGCAAGCUAGAGUUCGGUAGGGGAGACUGGAAUUCCUGGUGUAGCGGUGAAAUGCGCAGAUAUCAGGAGGAACACCGGUGGCGAAGGCGGGUCUCUGGGCCGAUACUGACACUGAGACCCGAAAGCGUGGGGAUCAAACAGG
rnacentral:rRNA from 1 species